UUUGGGUUAAUGUUCAGGGAAAGCCCUCCUCUCAAUAAUUUGAUCAUUAUACAUCUUAUUAUUUUGUCUAAGCUAGCACUAUAUUAAUAGUACAAAAUUUCCUUUCUUAUAUGUCUUAUACCAUAAUUAGUUUUUGUUGUGUGACCUUUUGAAUUUGCUCUUGUACUAUGUGAAUCCUCAAUCUCUAUGUAUUAUUAGUAGAAAGACGGCCAUUGAUAUGGCUGUCUGUCUAUCCGUCUUUUUAUGUUGUACUUCAUUGUAUGCAUAUUUUAUUAUAUAAUAUAUAUUUUGAUUUAAUUUGAUUGUUU
rnacentral:lncRNA from 1 species